GGGCUUCACACGUCAUACAAUGGUCGGAACAGAGGGUCGCCAACCCGCGAGGGGGAGCCAAUCCCAGAAAACCGAUCGUAGUCCGGAUUGCACUCUGCAACUCGAGUGCAUGAAGCUGGUAUCGCUAGUAAUCGCGGAUCAGCAUGCCGCGGUGAAUA
rnacentral:rRNA from 1 species